AGAUUUCAAGUGCUGAGUGCAGGAGAGGAGAUGCCAGGCUAGUGCCCAUCCUUUCAUCUUCACACAGAGACAGAAACUGCACAGGGACUGUGGUGGAGCAAAGUGGAUGGCAAAGACAGCAAAGACUCGGCACUGACCCUUGCCGGCACACAGGAAAGACCCCUGGAAUAUGACAAGGAGCUAUGUGAACGUUGUUUACUCCAACAACUUCUGCUACACUUCUGCCUAGAAAGUUAAUCUCUGUGAAAUGUAAUGCCUGUGAAGAGUAUUCAACUACAUCCUCUCAAUCUCAUGGGGCUAUGAUUUGAAGGGAUCUUUCAGAAGAAGGAAGGAAACUGUUAUAAGAGACGAUUGCAGCUUUCAUCUUAAUAUCUUAUGGGUACAGAAGAUUGUUCCAAUAGACAGCAGGACAUCAGUUACAGAUGUGAAGCAUACUCACAGGCAUAUGGAUCUUACAUUAGCAGACUGUCCAAAGAAUUAAGCAGUGGGGAUGCACAACAGUCCAGAUGUUACAAAUUUCUAUCAGUGGUCAUUGCAGCAUGAAAUCUCAUAUGAGAUUCACUUCUUGGAAUCAUUCAAGGUUUAAAAGGAGCCCAAGAUAAUAGACUCAGAUAAAAAUGUUUGCUUGUGGCUGAAAGAAACUCAUCCCAGAAAUGAAGAAGUGUUGACAACCAGUUGAGGGAUAAAAAACAGUUAUUACUUUACAGUAAUGACAGUAUUUGACAUACAUUGACUGUUGACAUUGCAUUGCCAAGAGGCUUUGGCCACAAAAACCUGAUCUUUUAUACAUGAAAGAACGUGAAUACCAGAAGAAGAAAUAGAUUACACUAAGUUAAAUAGCUAUGCUUUUUCCACAUGAUUUUGCAACUAAAUUAAUGAACAAUAACAACAAAUUGCAUUGCAAUACACAUUUGAGGAGGAAUUUGUUCAGCAUGAGAGUGGU